UGCAAGUCGAACGGCUUUUCUAUGGAAGCUUGCUUCCACUGAGAAGAUAGUGGCGAACGGGUGAGUAACACGUGGGGUAACCUGCCCAUAAGAGGGGGAGUAACAUCCGGAAACGGGUGCUAAUACCGCAUAGUUUUCUUGAUCGCAUGAUUGAGAAAGGAAAGACGGCCUUUGUGCUGUCGCUUAUGGAUGGACCCGCGGCGUAUUAGUUAGUUGGUGAGGUAACGGCUCACCAAGACGAUGAUACGUAGCCGACCUGAGAGGGUGAUCGGCCACAUUGGGACUGAGACACGGCCCAAACUCCUACGGGAGGCAGCAGUAGGGAAUCUUCCGCAAUGGACGAAAGUCUGACGGAGCAACGCCGCGUGAGUGAAAGAAGGUUUUCGGAUCGUAAAACUCUGUUGUCAGAGAAGAACAAGUUGGAGAGUAACUGCUCCAGCCUUGACGGUAUCUGACCAGAAAGCCACGGCUAACUACGUGCCAGCCGCCGC
rnacentral:rRNA from 1 species